CGGUGUAGCUCAGCUGGUAGAGCUUCUGAUUUGUAAUCAGAUGGUCGGGGGUUCGAGUCCCUUCGCCG
rnacentral:tRNA from 1 species